rnacentral:rRNA from 1 species
UACGGUGGGGGCUAGCGUUGUUCGGAAUCACUGGGCGUAAAGCGCACGUAGGCGGACUUACAGGUCAAUUGUGAAAUACCUGAGCUCAACUCAGGAACUGCAGUUGAAACCGUUUGUCUUGAAUACCUGAGAGGGUGGGGGAAUACCUGGUGGAGAAGUGAAAUUCGUAGAGAUCAGGUGGAACACCGGAGGCGAAGGCGCCUGCCUGGCAGUGUAUUGACGCUGAGGUGCGAAAGUGCGGGGAGCAAACAGG